ACCCUCUGGUUCCCUUUCCCAUCGGAUCUGAACCCUGGUCUUGGUGGUUGUAAAAGUACCGAGCUGUGCUCAUAGUGUCUGCUAUAUAGUAUGUGGGCUACUUUCAAACAAGG
rnacentral:snoRNA from 1 species